UACGUAGGGCGCAAGCGUUAAUCGGAUUUACUGGGCGUAAAGCGUGAGUAGGUGGCGGCGUAAGUCGGUUGUGAAAUCCCUGGGCUCAACCUGGGAAUUGCAUCCGAUACUGCGUUGCUAGAGUUCGGUAGAGGACGGCGGAACUCUCGGUGUAGCGGUGAAAUGCGUAGAUAUCGAGAGGAACAUCGAUGGCGAAGGCAACCGUCUGGGCCUGAACUGACACUGAGACACGAAAGCGUGGGUAGCAAACAGG
rnacentral:misc_RNA from 1 species